CCAGCAUGGAUAUGCUGGAGGUCACUCUCCCCAAGUUCUGUCCAGGUGGCCUAGGGGUGCAUAGGGUUCUGUGCCAUGUUGUACUGUCCCUUUCCUCCAUGUUUGAGAUGAAGCUGGGCCUUUGAGUCUGUGCCUGCAUAUUCCUAUGACUUCUCAGAGUCCUGUGGACCACAACUGAGGAGACAAACCAUGCAGGAAACAAUG
ensembl:snoRNA SNORA73 Small nucleolar RNA SNORA73 family